CCGGGAGGAGCCCACAGCGUUGUAAUGCCGGAGAUACGCCUCCGCCACGUCGUGUCCUGCAGCAGCCAGGACUCGACCCACUGUGCAGAAAACCUUCUCAAGGCAGACACUUACCGAAAAUGGCGGGCAGCCAAGGCAGGCGAGAAGACCAUCUCUGUGGUCCUACAGAUGCGGAAACCAAGGCCCAAAGAAGUUAUGCAACUUGCCUGACAGCCAAUCUUGUAAACUGUGGGAGAUACAGGUUGCUGACAGUUUAGUCUUGGGACCUGCAUUUGAGUCCCCAGCUCUCCUCCUUACUCUGUGACCUCAGGCAAAUUGUUUCAUUUCUCUAAACCUGUUUUCUCAUCUGUCCAUUGGGAAUAAUGACAUCUAAGCCUGGAGUUGUUGCGAAAAUCCACUGACAUAAUGUCUCCAAAAGUGCUCUGUCAACAUGUAGGUGUUUGUGUAAAGGGAGGGAUUCGUGUUUAUUACUGGAUGAUAAUUCUGCUGAACUCUCUUAUGAUCAGGUGACCCCAGGGAAGCCAUCUUUGGUCCUGUUACCCUAGUUGCUGUGGGAACAGAGAGACUGGAGGCAGAAGAGAUAGGACAUGGGGGAUGAGGGAGCCAAAGUGGUGAGGCACAGGAUUCUCUGGCCUGGGAGAGACUGAGGGAGUAUUGCAGCUGUUGCCAAAAUGGGACACACGUAGAAGGAGCAGCUUGCAUUUCAGUUGGAUUGUCCAGGUUUGAUGUAAAUUUGGGACAUCCAAGGGGUACCAUCCCUUCUGAUCCCCACAGUUUGGGAUUAGACAUGGAGCUAGAGACAGGUAUAGAUGUUGUCAGCACAGGGAUAGGACCUCUAGACUUGGGAACAGAUGAUGGAUUCAUUCAUUCAUUUGUUCGUUCAGCAAGUAUUUAUUAAGUGCCUUCUAUAUGCCAAGCACUGUUUUAGGUACUGGGCUUAUGUAGCAGUGUAUGGCACAAGACAAAUAUUCAGUCAUGUGGAGCAUUCAUGUUAGUAGGGAAAGACCGACAAAUCGAUAAGUAAAACAUAUGUCAGAUGAAUGCUAUGGAGGAAAUCAAACUAUUAAGGAGACUUAGGGGGCCAGGUGCAAUGGCUCACACCUGUAAUCCGACUACUCUGGGAGGCCAAGGUGGGAGGAUCACUUGA